rnacentral:sRNA from 1 species
CUUGGUCAUUUAGAGGAAGUAAAAGUCGUAACAAGGUUUCCGUAGGUGAACCUGCGGAAGGAUCAUUAAAACAAUAAUGAAUGUCGGGGAGGGCGCUUCGGUGCAUCCCCCGUGUAUUCAACCAAACCCGCUCGUGUAUUUGGAUCAAAAAAACAAACAAAAUUUUUAACGAUAAUAAUUAAACAAACUUUCAACAACGGAUCUCUUGGCUCUCGCAUCGAUGAAGAACGCAGCGAAAUGCGAUAAGUAGUGUGAAUUGCAGAACUUUGUGAACCAUCGAAUCUUUGAACGCAAAUUGCGCCUUCUUUCGGAAGGCAUGUCUGUUUGAGGGCACCAUUUAACAAAUAAUGUGCGCGUCGUUUUUACGAGCGACGUGUGCACGUUGAUGAGCUUUCCCGAAAAAACCAAGUUUUUUUGGUGGCGCAUAAUGAACAGCGUGGGCUUUUUCUUCGAUUCUCGUGUAGUAAAUUUCAAAACAACGCUUGGGUUGAGAAAAAGUGCGUGCCGCGCAAUGGGUGUGGCGAAUUUACCCCUGCCCCAAUGCCACUCUUUCCCUGCGAAAGAACAUCUUUUAUUUAGGGCCUCAAAUCAGACAAGAGUACCCGCUGAACUUAAGCAUAUCAAUAAGCGGAGGAAAAGAAACUAACAAGGAUUCCCCUAGUAACGGCGAGUGAAGCGGGAACAGCUCAAAUUUUAAAUCUGGCUGCUUUGUAGUCCGAGUUGUAAUUUGAAGGAGUCUUGCCGCUGGCAAAACGAUGGCACAAGUCCUCUGGAACGGGGCAUCGUAGAGGGUGAGAAUCCCGUCUCUGGUCAUCACGCGCUGGCAUACGGCAGGCAUCCGAAGAGUCGAGUUGUUUGGGAAU